rnacentral:rRNA from 1 species
UAGUGGCGGACGGGUGAGUAACGCGUGAACAAUCUGCCCUGUACAAAGGAAUAGCCUCGGGAAACCGGGAUUAAAACCGUAUGACACUUUUUUGCCGCAUGGUAGAAAAGUCAAAUAUUUCAUAGGUAUGGGAUGAGUUCGCGUCUGAUUAGCUGGUUGGUAAGGUAACGGCUUACCAAGGCGACGAUCAGUAGCCGGCCUGAGAGGGUGAACGGCCACACUGGAACUGAGACACGGUCCAGACUCCUACGGGAGGCAGCAGUGGGGAAUAUUGCACAAUGGAGGGAACUCUGAUGCAGCGACGCCGCGUGAGUGAAGAAGGUCUUCGGAUCGUAAAACUCUGUCCUUGGUGAAGAAAAAAAUGACGGUAGCCAAGGAGGAAGCCCCGGCUAACUACGUGCCAGCAGCCGCGGUAAUACGUAGGGGGCGAGCGUUGUCCGGAAUUACUGGGCGUAAAGGGUGCGUAGGCGGCUUUUUAAGUUGGAUGUGAAAUACCCGGGCUUAACUUGGGGGGUGCAUUCAAAACUGGAGGGCUAGAGUUCAGGAGAGGGAAGCGGAAUUCCUAGUGUAGCGGUGAAAUGCGUAGAUAUUAGGAGGAACACCAGUGGCGAAGGCGGCUUACUGGACUGUAACUGACGCUGAGUCACGAAAGCGUGGGUAGCAAACAGGAUUAGAUACCCUGGUAGUCCACGCUGUAAACGAUGAGUGCUAGGUGUUGGGUAGCGAUACUCAGUGCCGGAGUAAACACAAUAAGCACUCCGCCUGGGGAGUACGGUCGCAAGACUGAAACUCAAAGGAAUUGACGGGGACCCGCACAAGCAGCGGAGCAUGUGGUUUAAUUCGAAGCAACGCGAAGAACCUUACCAAGGCUUGACAUCCCCUUGACCGGUGCAGAGAUGUACCCUCCUCUUCGGAGGCAAGGGAGACAGGUGGUGCAUGGUUGUCGUCAGCUCGUGUCGUGAGAUGUUGGGU